AAUGGGAUAGCUGGGUCAAAUGGUGGUUCCAUUCCACGUUUUCUGAGGCAUCUCAUACUGCUCUCCAGAGUGGUUGCACCAAUUUGCAGUCCCACCAGCAAU
rnacentral:pre_miRNA from 1 species